AGAGGAAUGAGGAAAUUUUGUAAUUACCAUCUUUCGGGACUGAAAGAGCACAUGUUGAGACUACCUCUGACAAACUGACCUCU